CAGGAACAUUCUGAUAAUUGCUGAGUCUAUCAUUGAUAUCAGAUCAACCCCUGACUGGUUCUUCUGUCUAAUGAGUGUGAACAACGUGCUCCAAAUCCUCAACACGAACAUGAACUUCUGGUUCUACGCGUGGAUGAACAAAAACUUCAGGGCUGGACUUCGAUCCCUCGUUUCCAGUUGUUUACCAACUGCGACCCAAAGCGUUCCAACAGCAGAGGUUCAAGUCUAAUCUACUAACUGGCCUGGUACCCUGUACAGUGCACAGUACCCUGUACAGUUCACAAUAGCCUGUACAGUGCAUAGUACCCUACACAGUAUACAACAUCGUACAUAAGUCACUAGAAUGGGCUGAUUCAUCGUUUUGCCUUCUGUGUCUGUUUGUACAAAUUUCUCUAAUUCCCCAGAAAAUAGAAAAUAGCGAGGUACUUAGUUUCAGUGAUAAUUAACGCUGUGUUUUCAAACUGAAACAGAAUCAAAGACGGCAUUCAACUCUUUUCUCUUUUCUUAAAUUUUUUACAAAUAGUCUAUAUUAAAUUAUUAAAUUAUAAAUUCAACAAAUAUGAUUGAUUUAAGCUAAUGUACUUAAGGACCCACAUGGUAUGAUGGUAAUGGUAUGAUAUCUAUAUAAGAACAAAAGCAUUAAUAAAUAAUCGAACUAACAAUAGCAUUUCUGAAUUACCAACAGUUUGUUUGAAAUUUUAAUAAAAAAUGUAUCUACAGGGU